UUCAAACUUUUAUUAAUACAGAUCUAAUUACUAAACUCAAUAACAUUAUAAAAGCCGUGUUCGGCUAAGCCCAGUAAGCCCUAUAUGUUUUGAAUAAAUACGAUAUUUUAUAAUAAACAGA
rnacentral:sRNA from 1 species